rnacentral:lncRNA from 1 species
UUAUUACUAUGGAGGAGAUUCAAGUACUAGUUCAGGCACUAAAUGUCACUGUUAUACAUACAUUCAGAGAAGGAAACACAGUGGCUGAUUCACUAGCAAAUGAGGCAAUGGAAUCACAACACACGCAGGAGUAUAAUACAUUUCAACAGCUAUCAGAGAAGACGAAAUGACUACUGAACAUUGACAAAGACUAAAUCCCUCACAUCAGAAUCAAGACAAGACAAGAAAGAUUACUCAACAGUAAACAGCAAAAGCAACAAGUAUUUUUACAUAGAGGAGAUAUACAAGUCAGAUCGAUGCUAAUUUCAGCUACAUUAGAACUAACAUUUCACAUUAGAUGGAUGCUGAUUUCAGCUAGAAUUCACAAAAGAGAAAGAGAUCUACAAGUCAGAACCUAGGUGAAAUGAAAGCCGCAUGGUCCUCAGAACCUACAACCACCUGAGAACGAAGAUGGAAGGUCAACGUUAAGAAUGCAGAAGUUGAAAAUGGCAGAAGAGCAACCUGCACCUACGGUAAGUGAUAUCGAACACUUAGCUGCGAGAAGAAUCCUUAGCUAAGAGCACCACCUGGCACACAAACAACAGAAGUAGAUAUCGAAGCGGGGAACACCGACAACACUCCGACAACAUCUCCGUCAAGCUCAGGAGAAAAAGAUCUACUCUUGUCCUAAACCCAAGUGUAAUGGAUAAAGGAAACUUUU